rnacentral:rRNA from 1 species
CAGUCGCCGCGGUAACACGUAGGGUGCAAGCGUUAAUCGGAAUUACUGGGCGUAAACCGUGCGCAGGCGGUUAUAUAAGACAGAUGUGAAAUCCCCGGGCUCAACCUGGGAACUGCAUUUGUGACUGUAUAGCUAGAGUACGGCAGAGGGGGAUGGAAUUCCGCGUGUAGCAGUGAAAUGCGUAGAUAUGCGGAGGAACACCGAUGGCGAAGGCAAUCCCCUGGGCCUGUACUGACGCUCAUGCACGAAAGCGUGGGGAGCAAACAGGAUUAGAUACCCCUGUAGUCCCUGUCUCUUAUAC